UUGAAGCCUCACGUCUCUUAAUUGCCCUCCAUCUCCUUCUUUUCCCUCGCUUUCACCAUUUCAGCCUUUCAGGUAUGUUUCAGUGAACUAAACACCUUCUUCUUUCUUCUACUUUUAGAUUUUCACUUUCCCCAAGUUUUUCACUCGCCUGUCUCUACACCUAUGUACGUUCGCCUUCAUUGAUCUUUUCUGCCCCUCUGAUCACAAUUCGAUGCUUUAGACGGUUUUCUUGAGGAACCGUUGCUUAAAUUUUCCUAUUCUUUUACCAAGUUACCGUGAGGGUUGUUUUCAGUUUCUUUUUUUCCCAGCUUCAGUUCUAAUUGCACAGAAUGCAGUGAAGAAACCAACAUAGGAGGUAUUCGCCGAGGAAAAUAUCCUCUUUCUCGCUUUCGACAUUUAUUUGGUUAGUAUUUCAUGUUUCUCUGUGUCUAUUCAUUAAUGAUUAUAGAUUCCAAGGGAUACAUUCAUUAACGAUCAUAGAUUCCAAGGUCAACCACUUGACUGUAUAACACUGGUUUCCUCUGCUUUGUUGUACGUAUGGUUUUUCGUUUCUCUUUCUUUUUCUUUUUAAUUUUGGUGAUUGAAUCACUUCAUAUGUAUAUAUCUUGACUAAUAUAUUGUCCUCUUCUUAAAUAUCAAUAUCUAUAUCAUUUUUUUGCCACCUUCUCCCUUUUUCCUUUUUUUCCCCCUUAUUCUCUUCAUUCAACUUGAUUGUUGAAAGCCCAAAAACCAUUAAAUGAACAUUAACUAAAGCAAUUAUAACCCUUGAUGGGUCAUAAAAAAAGGAAAAUGGAAACUGAAAAGAUUCAUCAAUUAUGGAUUUAUAAUUUACACUAAAACCUUCAUAUUUAAGAUUACAAUGUCACCAAGACAGAGAGGAAAUUAACGGAGGAAGAAAAAUUAGUCGCAUCAAGAAGUUCUGCCAGUAAAAAGCCUCAUGUUCGAUUAAGUUUUCCCUCUUUCUUUUCUCAUCUUGGGGCUUAUAUUGUUUUUCGUCAUAGUCACCGAGCUUAUAUUGUUUUUGUGUCAAAAUCACCGGAGCGACAAGCGCGAAGCAGAUCUUUUCAAAGCAAUUAACGACUCAAACCAGAGAUCCCGGUGAAGCUUCUAGAUGAGGCGACACUCCCUUUUCAUGCUAUGUCAUAUAGAGCGAGAAUGGGACUAUGAUUGCCGGAUAUUACAGUACAUAUAUUUUCGUUGUUUCAAAAAAAUUCCAAUUCUUUAAAUAAUAGUUAAGUACAAUAUUUUGAUUAUUGAAUAAAUUUCUUAGCUGGUUAUAUUAUUGGUUAUUUGAUUGUUGAAUAAUAGUGAGUUCCUUAUUUUAAAAAAUGUGAUUCUUUUCAUGAUGCUAAUACCUUUAUUGAGUUUCAUUGGUUCCUAAAAUUUAUGUGCGACUAAAACAUGUAGAUUAUGAGAUUUGACUAUAUUUUAUUGAGGUUCAAUUCUUUAAGUUGUAUGAUCCGAAAACUUUACAUGUAAUAACUAUGAACUUACUAAUAUCUUUCAAGAUUGUGAAACACGGACAAAUACACUAUUAUACCUAUAAUCUAAAUGAAAAAGAAAAUGAAUAGUUUCAUCACGAAAUACUACUAUUGAUGUUAUUAUAACCAAGUAUAAAGUUAAAUUAAAAUAAUCAUAUGAAGUGUACUCUUUUCAUUUAUUCCCUUCCAUAAAAAGUUUGAAAUAGAAGAAAAAUUAGUCAUUUCCCCCCCUUAAUGUGGGCUCUUUUGAUCUACUCUUUCAAUUUUCGUCCGAAUGUAAGUUGUUUGAUUUACUCUUUCACCUUUUGUGUUCUCUUUUAUAGCUUAUUUAAUUUCAAAACUAAAUAAUUUCAGUGGUUUCAGGUGAAACUAUGAGAUUCCUGAAGUCAUAGCUAAAUAGGUUUGUUCAUGGCAUCACAACCUAGAUUAAAACAAUUAUUGCCCUCUUUAAGGCAACGGGAUAAAUCAUCGGUCCUGCAGUCAUGGAUGCUGCCUUCUAUUGACGUGAAGGUGUUCUUUUGCAUAUAUUGUAAUGGUUCAGGUAAAACACUCAAAAGGUUAGUUGCCUUUCUCUAUGUGGAAUAAUAAAGAACUUUCAAGGUUACAAUACAACAACUCAUAUAGAGCAAUGUAAUCGUCCUUUGUCUUUUCAAAAGAAUACAAUGUCUGUCAUGCUUCAUUAAGCAGGCAAAUGAAAUUCAAACUAUCAAGUAAUGUCCAGAUUUAUUUGUCAGUUCCAUCUUAACUUCUGAAUUUCCAUAUGCAAGUACGAAUAAAGCAAUUUGCUUUUUUUCCAAUACUCCAUUACUCAAGUAUUCAUGUUGUGCUGGACACAAUUAUACUUUGAGAAAUGAUAAUUUCUUUUUCAAGAAAACAUCCUAAAACAAAACAUCCUAUUAUCUGUUUCAGAUUUUAUUUGUCGAGAGCCAAGAGUGAAAUUAGGCUCAACUGGUUGAUGUUAUAUAGAAGGAGAAAUUGCCGGAGGUUGUGGACCAAGAUUAGAGUUUUAGACUUAAUUUCUUAAACAAGAGGUACUACCAUGCCGAAUUCACUUUCUUUUUUUUACUUUAAUUUUUUCUAACAGAGUCAAAUUGGGAAGAUGAAUCUGUUCAGUCGCGACUUGAGGAGAGAUCCUUUAAGUUUGUUUGGAGUUAUUAACAACAUGACACAAGAGAAUACAGAUACACAAGACUUGUUUUUCCAUCAUUCUGCUACCAAUUUCAGUUGCCUACGACACAAGCGUACAAUCGAUUAGAAUGCAGGUCUCCAACUGUAAAUUCAAUUAGUAACCAUCCAAGCAACAAUGAAGGAUUUGCCAACGUGAGACACUGGUGAAAUAGGGAACAGUCCUACAAUAAAAGUUGCAGAGACUGUAAAGGCUUUAUAAAAUGUGUGACAAGAAACAAAGAAAUCUUAUUAACUUUUGUUGAAAGAAAAACCCAUGAGACCAUUGGAACAAACUCAAUUAGUAAAGUGGGGAAGGUCUAUGAAAAAUGCUUAUAAGCAUCACAUAGUCUAAGCAAAUUAAUGUGUAUCAAUCUGUUUCUGAUCCGUGAAUCAGUUGUAUAUCAUUCUUAAGUUAACGCAUUCAAAAGAAUAUGCAAUUUUUAUGAUUUUAAGUAGAAAACAUUCAACUUAUCGAGCAAACCAAAAAUCAUUUUUGUUGCUCUAAAAAAAAACUGUUGCUCUUGCAUUUGCUCCAAAUGCAUUACCUCCAAUUGGAAACUUGUA